rnacentral:rRNA from 1 species
GACGAACGCUGGCGGCGUGCUUAACACAUGCAAGUCGAACGGAAAGGCCCUGCUUUUGUGGGGUGCUCGAGUGGCGAACGGGUGAGUAACACGUGAGUAACCUGCCCUUGACUUUGGGAUAACUUCAGGAAACUGGGGCUAAUACCGGAUAGGAGCUCCUGCUGCAUGGUGGGGGUUGGUAAGUUUCGGCGGUUGGUGAUGGACUCGCGGCUUAUCAGCUUGUUGGUGGGGUAGUGGCUUACCAAGGCUUUGCCGGGUAGCCGGCCUGGGAGGGUGACCGGCCACAUUGGGACUGAGAUACGGCCCAGACGCCAACGGGAGGCAGCAGUGGGGAGUAUUGCACAAUGGGCGGAAGCCAGAUGCAGCAACGCCGCGUGCGGGAAGACGGCCUUCGGGUUGUGAACCGCUUUCGCCUGUGACGAAGCGUGAGUGACGGUAAUGGGUAAAGAAGCACCGGCUAACUACGUG